GCGUUAACGAACGAGACCUCGACCUGCUAAAUAGUUCGGUGAAGGCGUCAGUCUUCAUACGUGGCUUCUUAGAGGGACUAUCGGUGUUUUAGCCGAAGGAAGUUCGAGGCAAUAACAGGUCUGUGAUGCCCUUAGAUGUUCUGGGCUGCACGCGCGCUACACUGAUGGUUGCAACGAGCUUACAACCUUGACCGAUAGGUCUGGGUAAUCUUUUCAACGACCAUCGUGCUGGGGAUAGAUGAUUGUAAUUAUUCAUCUUCAACGAGGAAUUCCUAGUAAACGCAAGUCAUCAACUUGCAUUGAUUACGUCCCUGCCCUUUGUACACACCGCCCGUCGCUAAUACCGAUUGAAUGGAUAG
rnacentral:rRNA from 1 species